rnacentral:rRNA from 1 species
UGGGGAAUAUUGCACAAUGGGCGGAAGCCUGAUGCAGCAACGCCGCGUGCGGGAUGACGGCCUUCGGGUUGUAAACCGCUUUCGCCUGUGACGAAGCGUGAGUGACGGUAAUGGGUAAAGAAGCACCGGCUAACUACGUGCCAGCAGCCGCGGUGAUACGUAGGGUGCGAGCGUUGUCCGGAUUUAUUGGGCGUAAAGGGCUCGUAGGUGGUUGAUCGCGUCGGAAGUGUAAUCUUGGGGCUUAACCCUGAGCGUGCUUUCGAUACGGGUUGACUUGAGGAAGGUAGGGGAGAAUGGAAUUCCUGGUGGAGCGGUGGAAUGCGCAGAUAUCAGGAGGAACACCAGUGGCGAAGGCGGUUCUCUGGGCCUUUCCUGACGCUGAGGAGCGAAAGCGUGGGGAGCGAACAGGCUUAGAUACCCUGGUAGUCCACGCUGUAAACGGUGGGUACUAGGUGUGGGGGUCCAUUCCACGGGUUCCGCGCCGUAGCUAACGCUUUAAGUACCCCGCCUGGGGAGUACGGCCGCAAGGCUAAAACUUAAAUGAAUUGACGGGGUCAUAGCUGUUUCCU